rnacentral:rRNA from 1 species
UACGGAGGGUGCGAGCGUUGUCCGGAAUCACUGGGCGUAAAGGGCGCGUAGGCGGCGCGGGAAGUCAUCGGUGAAAGUUCAGGGCUCAACUCUGAAUCGGCCGGUGAUACUCUCGUGCUUGAGCACUGUAGAGGCAGGUGGAAUUCCGGGUGUAGCGGUGGAAUGCGUAGAGAUCCGGAAGAACACCGGUGGCGAAGGCGGCACUCUGGGACGGUACUGGACGCUGAGACGCGAAAGCGUGGGGAAGCGAACGAGGAAU